UCUGUAGGGCUGGAAUUUUAUUUUGCAUCUGUCAGCCUGAAAUUAAUUACUGCAGUGAGCAGAGUUCUGAUAGAAAUGUGGGUGUAGUGGUAAACGAUUUAAAGUGCAGCAUGCGUGAUUAACAUCAGUCCAAAUUGUAUUGUUCAUACCUUUUGUUAAUGACAUGAUUAUGGACCUUUUUGAGUGUAGUACAUGUCCACAAGCAUUUGCCUAGCAGGAGACAGCAAGCUCUGUUGUACCCGUUCGUUCUCCGUGUGUAAAACAGAGGCCAGCUUUAGUAAAUGGUUUUAUUUAGAAAAUUCACUUUGCCAUUUUAGAUGCCUUUAUUGGUCUUGAUGCUGAAAUUAGUGGUCGUGUAGGAAAGUACACAUGGCGACUGUAGUUCAAUCCAUGGCAGUAUACAGUAAGCCUGUGGGACAAAGGAACAACAGAAUUCAUUACUCAUUUGUUGACAUUACGUACCAUUUUGAGAUUCAAUUUCUCCAGGUGUAUUUCAUGAUGACAUAAAUCUCGUGUGAACAAAGGACCUGUUCACUCAAGAUUUAUUUCAUCAUGAAAUAUGCGUUGAGAAAUUGAAGAAUCAUACUUUGAGAUUGUUCAGACUCCUCACAACCUGAGAACAGUGAAUAAUAUUUUUCAGCUAGUGUCUGAUUUAGCUGCUCAGCUGUGGGCUCAUUUGCUGCAGCCAGUACUGGAUAAAAUAUUGCCUUUAAUUUGUACCUCAUAGUAAAAAUGGCAACUGGAUGCAACUGUUCGUCUGCCUGCUUGUUUUUCAGAGGUGUAGAACAGCAUCAAUUGACAUGGAGACAAUCUGGAUAAAGGAAGAGAGGUCAGAUGACGUCCCUAAUGAGCCAGGUUCUGUGUUUUUUGAAGACUCUAAUCUCCCUGUGAAGCAAGAUCCAGAACCGAAUGUGGCUGGCUCUGUGCAUAAUAGCUCAUGACGUGCAACAGGGACAGUUUAUCUACUGAGAUUCAGCACCUGAAGAAAACCUUCCAGAAGAAUGGAUACACCGAAAUGCAGAUUAGACACACUCUCAAGAUGAGGAAGAGGAAGAAGAAGAAGAAGAAAAUUCCUAUCCAAUCCACUGAUGUGCAGCAUGCAGUUAUGGACUACUUCAUGCAGUGAUGUCAGGAUUUCCCAAACUCUUAUUUCACAUGACCCAGAUGUUGAAACAAAGAGGAGGACAUAAUUAUAUUGUCUUUGCCUAGCAAGGAUUGUCUUAUUCAGGUAAGAUCUUAAUAUUAUUUAAUCAAAUCAAAAUCAAAAUGAAUCCAGCAAUGGAAAAACCAUGUUGGAA